GCUGUGAUCGUAUAGUGGUUAGUACUUCACGCUGUGGCCGUGACAACCCAGGUUCGAAUCCUGGUCACAGCA
rfam:Ciona savignyi cont_33822, whole genome shotgun sequence.